ACGUACACUCCUGCGGGAAGCAGCAGUGGGGAAUAUUGGACAAUGGGCGCAAGCCUGAUCCAGCCAUGCCGCGUGAGUGAUGAAGGCCCUAGGGUUGUAAAGCUCUUUCACCGGUGAAGAUAAUGACGGUAACCGGCGAAGAAGCCCCGGCUAACUUCGUGCCAGCAGCCGCGGUAAUACGAAGGGGGCUAGCGUUGUUCGGAUUUACUGGGCGUAAAGCGCACGUAGGCGGACUAUUAAGUCAGGGGUGAAAUCCCGGGGCUCAACCCCGGAACUGCCUUUGAUACUGGUAGUCUUGAGUUCGAGAGAGGUGAGUGGAAUUCCGAGUGUAGAGGUGAAAUUCGUAGAUAUUCGGAGGAACACCAGUGGCGAAGGCGGCUCACUGGCUCGAUACUGACGCUGAGGUGCGAAAGCGUGGGGAGCAAACAGGAUUAGAAACCCUGGUAGUCC
rnacentral:rRNA from 1 species